rnacentral:rRNA from 1 species
GUUCACCUCGGGAGGCAGCAGUGGGGAAUAUUGCACAAUGGGGGAAACCCUGAUGCAGCGACGCCGCGUGAGUGAAGAAGUAUUUCGGUAUGUAAGGCUCUAUCAGCAGGAACGAGACAAGACGGUACCUGACUAAGAAGCCCCGGCUAACUACGUGCCAGCAGCCGCGGUAAUACGUAGGGGGCAAGCGUUAUCCGGAAUCACUGGGUGUAAAGGGAGCGUAGACGGCCGUGCAAGCCUGAAGUGAAAGGCGGGGGCCCAACCCCUGGACUGCUUUGGGAACUGUACGGCUGGAGUGCAGGAGG